rnacentral:rRNA from 1 species
CCUGUUCCCAUGCCGAACACAGAAGUUAAGCUCCUUAGCGUCGAUGGUAGUCGAACUUACGUUCCGCUAGAGUAGAAUGUUGCCAGGC